AGAGUUUGAUCCUGGCUCAGAACGUACGCUGGCGGCACGCCUUAUACAUGCAAGUCGAACGAAGUAGCAAUACUUAGUGGCAGACGGGUGAGUAACAUGUGGGUAUCUUCCCUUUGGUGAGGAAUAACACGAGGAAACUUGUGCUAAUACCUCAUAAGUCUUUACGGAGAAAGCUUUAUGCGCCAAUGGAUGAGCCCGCACUUGAUUAGUUUGUUGGUGGGGUAAUGGCCUACCAAGACAGUGAUCAAUAGCUGAUUUGAGAGGAUGAUCAGCCACAUUGGGACUGAGACACGGCCCAAACUCCUACGGGAGGCAGCAGUAGGGAAUCUUGCACAAUGGAGGAAACUCUGAUGCAGCGAUGCCGCGUGAGUGAAGAAGGCCUUUGGGUUGUAAAGCUCUUUCGUCGGGGAAGAAAAUGACUGUACCCGAAUAAGAAGGUCCGGCUAACUUCGUGCCAGCAGCCGCGGUAAUACGAAGGGACCUAGCGUAGUUCGGAAUUACUGGGCUUAAAGAGUUCGUAGGUGGUUAAAAAAGUUGGUGGUGAAAUCCCAGAGCUUAACUCUGGAACUGCCAUCAAAACUUUUUAGCUAGAGUAUGAUAGAGGAAAGCAGAAUUUCUAGUGUAGAGGUGAAAUUCGUAGAUAUUAGAAAGAAUACCGAUUGCGAAGGCAGCUUUCUGGAUCAUUACUGACACUGAGGAACGAAAGCAUGGGUAGCGAAGAGGAUUAGAUACCCUCGUAGUCCAUGCCGUAAACGAUGUGUGUUAGAUGUUGGAAAUUUAUUUUCAGUAUCGCAGCGAAAGCAAUAAACACACCGCCUGGGGAGUACGACCGCAAGGUUAAAACUCAAAUGAAUUGACGGGGACCCGCACAAGUAGUGGAGCAUGUGGUUUAAUUCGAAGAUACGCGCAGAACCUUACCAACACUUGACAUGUUCGUCGCGACUCUAAGAGAUUAGAGUUUUCGGUUUGGCCGGACGAAACACAGGUGCUGCAUGGCUGUCGUCAGCUCGUGUCGUGAGAUGUUGGGUUAAGUCCCGCAACGAGCGCAACCCUUACUUUUAGUUGCCAUCAUUUAGUUGGGCACUCUGAAAGAACUGCCAGUGAUAAGCUGGAGGAAGGUGGGGAUGACGUCAAGUCCUCAUGGCCCUUAUGUGUUGGGCUACACACGUGCUACAAUGGUAUCUACAACAGGAAGCAAGAUGGCAACAUUAAGCAAAUCCCAAAAAGAUACCUCAGUUCGGAUUGCACUCUGCAACUCGAGUGCAUGAAGCUGGAAUUACUAGUAAUCGUGGAUCAGCGUGCCACGGUGAAUACGUUCCCGGGUCUUGUACACACCGCCCGUCACACCAUGGGAGUUGGUUCUACCUUAAGGCAAGGUUUAAUACCCUUGACCACGGUAUAGUCAGCGACUGGGGUGAAGUCGUAACAAGGUAACC
rnacentral:rRNA from 1 species